AGUGAACGCUGGCGGUAGGCCUAACACAUGCAAGUCGAACGGCAGCACAGAGGAGCUUGCUCCUUGGGUGGCGAGUGGCGGACGGGUGAGGAAUACAUCGGAAUCUACUCUGUCGUGGGGGAUAACGUAGGGAAACUUACGCUAAUACCGCAUACGACCUACGGGUGAAAGCAGGGGACCUUCGGGCCCUGCGCGAUUGAAUGAGCCGAUGUCGGAUUAGCUAGUUGGCGGGGUAAAGGCCACCAAGGCGACGAUCCGUAGCUGGUCUGAGAGGAUGAGCAGCCACACUGGAACUGAGACACGGUCCAGACUCCUACGGGAGGCAGCAGUGGGGAAUAUUGGACAAUGGGCGCAAGCCUGAUCCAGCCAUACCGCGUGGGUGAAGAAGGCCUUCGGGUUGUAAAGCCCUUUUGUUGGGAAAGAAAUCCAGCUGGCUAAUACCCGGUUGGGAUGACGGUACCCAAAGAAUAAGCACCGGCUAACUUCGUGCCAGCCGCCGCAGUAA
rnacentral:rRNA from 1 species